UUUUUUUUUUUAUUUGCCUUUAUGGGAACUUGGAACACCUGGUGAGGGGUGUAGCCAGCCCGACAAGCACAGGUGGAAGGAAUUCCAGAUGGGGCUGAGCCUGUCUCCACCCCUCCCUAACCUCAUUUAAGGGCUGGCAGCCCCAGAGGCAUUGUCUGUAGCUGGAGUCUGCCUCCUGUGGGUUGCUAGGCUGCCGGUUGAUCCGUCUUGUGUCUGCAAUAACCCGAACGUAGUCUAGUAAGGUUUGCUCAAGUGAGAUGGAAAAUGAAGAGGUCGGCUCCAAAACAAGCUUGUGACUGCUUUGCUUUGACAGAGGGAGAUGCAAAUAAAAGAGGAUUGGUGACUUCUCCACCAGCUGCUAUUGGCCGUCCGGACCUCUUUGGGUUGCAGUGUUAGAUGUGCUCUUGUAUGGGAACUGUUGAAUCACGGCCUGAACCUCUGAUUGACCACCCGAGGCGAGCGCUGAGUCAGCUGCAGGGGCACAGGUGAACACAGUU